GACGAACGCUGGCGGCGUGCUUAACACAUGCAAGUCGAACGACGUGGCGAACGGGUGAGUAAUACGUGGGUAACCUGCCCUCCUUUUUGGGAUAAGCCUUGGAACCGGGGUCUAAUACCGAAUAAAGGGGGAUGGGCUCGCGACCUAUCAGCUUGUUGGGGGGGUGAUUGCCUACCAAGGCGUUGACGGGUAGCCGGCCUGAGAGGGUGACCGGCCACAUUGAGACUGAUAUACGUCCCAGCCGCCUACGGGAGGAAGCAGGGGGGGAUAUUGCACAAUGGGAGAAAGCCUGAGGCAGCCAUGACGCGUGUCUGAAGAAGGCCUUCGGGUUGUAAAGGACUUUUGUUAGGAAAACGGUACCUAAAGAAUAAGCACCGGCUAACUACGUGCCAGCAGCCGCGGUAAUAC
rnacentral:rRNA from 1 species